AACGAACGCUGGCGGCAUGCCUAACACAUGCAAGUCGAACGAGACCUUCGGGUCUAGUGGCGCACGGGUGCGUAACGCGUGGGAACCUGCCCUCAGGUUCGGAAUAACUCCCCGAAAGGGGUGCUAAUACCGGAUAAUGUCUUCGGACCAAAGAUUUAUCGCCUUUGGAUGUUCCCGCGUUGGAUUAGCUAGUUGGUAGGGUAAAAGCCUACCAAGGCGACGAUCCAUAGCUGGGCUGAGAGGAUGAUCAGCCACACUGGGACUGAGACAUGGCCCAGACUCCUACGGGAGGGAGCAGUGGGGAAUAUUGGACAAUGGGCGAAAGCCUGAUCCAGCAAUGCCGCGUGAGUGAUGAAGGCCUUAGGGUUGUAAAGCUCUUUUACCCGGGAUGAUAAUGACAGUACCGGGAGAAUAAGCUCCGGCUAACUCCGUG
rnacentral:rRNA from 1 species